GAUGAACGCUGGCGGCGUGCCUAACACAUGCAAGUCGAGCGAACAGACGAGGAGCUUGCUCCUCUGACGUUAGCGGCGGACGGGUGAGUAACACGUGGAUAACCUAUCUAUAAGACUGGGAUAACUUCGGGAAACCGGAGCUAAUACCGGAUAAUAUAUUGAACCGCAUGGUUCAAUAGUGAAAGACGGUUUUGCUGUCACUUAUAGAUGGAUCCGCGCCGCAUUAGCUAGUUGGUAAGGUAACGGCUUACCAAGGCGACGAUGCGUAGCCGACCUGAGAGGGUGAUCGGCCACACUGGAACUGAGACACGGUCCAGACUCCUACGGGAGGCAGCAGUAGGGAAUCUUCCGCAAUGGGCGAAAGCUUGACGGAGCAACGCCGCGUGAGUGAUGAAGGUCUUCGGAUCGUAAAACUCUGUUAUUAGGGAAGAACGAAUGUGUAAGUAACUAUGCACGUCUUGACGGUACCUAAUCAGAAAGCCACGGCUAACUACGUG
rnacentral:rRNA from 1 species